UGCAUUCACUACUGUUAAGUCGCUCUGGAUAAGAGCGUCUGCUAAAUGACUAAAA
rfam:Salmo salar isolate Sally breed double haploid chromosome ssa16, whole genome shotgun sequence.